rnacentral:rRNA from 1 species
CGCUUAGAUGUUCUGGGCCGCACGCGCGCUACACUGACGAAUGCAACGAGCUUAUAACCUUGGCCGAAAGGUCUGGGUAAUCUCCAAAUUUCGUCGUGAUGGGGAUAGAUUAUUGCAAUUAUUAAUCUUCAACGAGGAAUGCCUAGUAAGCGCAAGUCAUCAGCUUGCGUUGAUUACGUCCCUGCCCUUUGUACACACCGCCCGUCGCUCCUACCGAUUGAAUGGUCCGGUGAAGCGUUCGGACCGUGGCCUUUGGACGGUUCGCCGUCUGUUGGCUGCGGGAAGUUCGUUAAACCUUAUCAUUUAGAGGAAGGAGAAGUCGUAACA